rnacentral:rRNA from 1 species
UACGUAGGGUGCAAGCGUUAAUCGGAAUUACUGGGCGUAAAGCGUGCGCAGGCGGUUUUGUAAGUUUGUCGUGAAAUCCCCGGGCUCAACCUGGGAAUGGCGAUGAAGACUGCAAGGCUAGAAUCUGGCAGAGGGGGGGUAGAAUUCCACGUGUGAGCAGUGAAAUGCGUAGAGAUGUGGAGGAACACCGAUGGCGAAGGCAGCCCCCUGGGUCA